UUUGGCCACCGUUUCGGUGUCCGAUUUAGCCUGCGAGUUGUACGUCUAACGUAGCGAACGGCUCAGUAACACGUGGCCAAGCUACCCUGUGGACCGCCAUAACCUCGGGAAACUGAGGCUAAUAGCGGAUAUCGCUCCCGCGCUGGAAUGCGGGGAGCGUGAAAGGCUCCGGCGCCACAGGAUGCGGCUGCGGCCGAUUAGGUAGACGGUGGGGUAACGGCCCACCGUGCCGAUAAUCGGUACGGGUUGUGAGAGCAAGAGCCCGGAGACGGACUCUGAGACAAGAGUCCGGGCCCUACGGGGCGCAGCAGGCGCGAAACCUUUACACUGCACGCCAGUGCGAUAGGGGGACACCGAGUGCGAGGGCAUAGAGCCCUCGCUUUUGUGUACCGUAAGGUGGUACACGAAUAAGGGCUGGGCAAGACCGGUGCCAGCCGCCGCGGUAACACCGGCAGCCCAAGUGAUGGCCGCUAUUAUUGGGCCUAAAGCGUCCGUAGCCGGCCGGGCAGGUCCGUCGGGAAAUCCACUGGCUCAACCAGUGGGCGUCCGGCGGAAACCGCUCGGCUUGGGACCGGAAGACCAGAGGGGUACGUUCGGGGUAGGAGUGAAAUCCCGUAAUCCUGGA
rnacentral:rRNA from 1 species